UACGAAGGGUGCAAGCGUUACUCGGAAUUACUGGGCGUAAAGCGUGCGUAGGUGGUUUGUUAAGUCUGCUGUGAAAGCCCCGGGCUCAACCUGGGAAUUGCAUUUGAGACUGUGUAGCUAGGGUGCGGAAGAGGGAAGCGGAAUUUCCGGUGUAGCGGUGAAAUGCGUAGAUAUCGGAAGGAACACCAGUGGCGAAAGCGGCUUCCUGGUCCAGCACCGACGUUCAGGCACGAAAGCGUGGGGAGCAAACAGG
rnacentral:rRNA from 1 species